AGAGUUUGAUCCUGGUUCAGGACGAACGCGGGCGGCGUGCUUAACACAUGCAAGUCGAGCGGUAAGGCCUUUCGGGGUACACGAGCGGCGAACGGGUGAGUAACACGUGGGUGACCUGCCCUCAGCUCUGGGAUAAGCCUGGGAAACUGGGUCUAAUACCGGAUAUGACCUUUCCUCGCAUGGGGUUUGGUGGAAAGUUUUUCGGCUGGGGAUGGGCCCGCGGCCUAUCAGCUUGUUGGUGGGGUGAUGGCCUACCAAGGCGACGACGGGUAGCCGGCCUGAGAGGGCGACCGGCCACACUGGGACUGAGACACGGCCCAGACUCCUACGGGAGGCAGCAGUGGGGAAUAUUGCGCAAUGGGCGGAAGCCUGACGCAGCGACGCCGCGUGGGGGAUGACGGCCUUCGGGUUGUAAACCUCUUUCGCCAGGGACGAAGCGCAAGUGACGGUACCUGGAUAAGAAGCACCGGCCAACUACGUGCCAGCAGCUGCGGUAACACGUAGGGUGCGAGCGUUGUCCGGAAUUAUUGGGCGUAAAGAGCUCGUAGGCGGUCUGUCGCGUCGGUCGUGAAAACCUGCAGC
rnacentral:rRNA from 1 species